rnacentral:misc_RNA from 1 species
CCUUCACUGGGACAAUAUUGUAUGGUGAGUUUUACUUUUUCUUAUAAUUUUCCAAUUCAUUUCACUGGCACAAAACUAACUUGGUUUAUCAUUAUGAUGUUUAGAAUAUUGAUAUUUUGUUUCAGUUUUUAAGUAUAAGCAUGAGGGUAAAUAUUAUAUCAAAAUAAUGGAUAGUUUUUAUAGUUUCUAGAAGCAAUUUCUGUUAUAAUCCAAAUCUCACACCUUAGAACUAAAGUUUUUCUCCCAGUUCUCAAAGGGAAUGGUGCCUAGAUAAUUCCCCAAACUUCAAAAACUUACAAUAACUUUAAAUGGAAAGACAAGAAAAAUGAUAAUGCAAAUUAAGGAAAAACCCUAAUGAUUUUAACACCAUAAUUGGAUCAAAUUUCUUGAUUUCUCUGCUAUUUAGAUUGCUUUUUCUAGAAGUGUUAUUGACUUCAAAUUUCCCUCAGAGGCAAGGCUCUCAAUCAUUGGAGAAGUGUUGUUGUGUUGCAAUUACUAUAAAAUAUGCUCAAGCAUGUUAGGAGGUAUAAGUUCCGAAAAAAAAAAUUGACUUCUUUAGGCAAAUGAACAAAAGUAAGUGAUAAUUUAUUUGGUUUAAAAUAUCUAGCACAUUAUAUUACAGGAUGGUAUGAACAAUUAACGGUCAGUAAUGAAACUAAUGAGUCAAGGAUACAGAGGCUAAACUAUGCUAAGGAUCAAAUAAAAUUAAAGAAAAAUAAGUGUUUUAUCACACCAUUGAAGUGAGAUGUGCUACCUUAUUGCUGCACAAAUUCAAUACUUCGUGUUAUGGAGUAACUAGCCUACGACAGUGGAGAAGUAAUUGUGCGAGUAACACUAACACUUCACUGUUUGUGAUCAGCUCUUAGGCGUUUUGAUUUAAUUUAUUUUGUAGUCACUUAGUCAUGAUGGUCCUUUAAUAACACAUUGGAUUCUUGGUGACCUCCUGAUAAUUGCUUUUCUUAAGUGAUUUCCAGUCUCCAUAAUAGAGUUUGCUGUUUGACUCUGAAGUUUUUGCCCCCUAAUUUCAUAGAAGAGUAUCCCACCUGAGUCUAUGGGGGAGUCACUGAUUUCUUGGUGACCUGAAGCUGAUUGAGCUGAUUUCUACAUAAAAAAGUCAUAUUGUGGCUUCAUAACAAAAUGCAAGCCUCUCUGAAAGAAUGGCACAAGAUUUCAUCUUAACCAAUUCCAGAGUCACUAUUAAAACUAGGGAAAACAUUAUCCUCUACUGCUUAAAUAAAUUUGAGUGAGAAGAGAUAGAUGCUCAUACAUUAUGUUGGCCUUGAAUUCUACCUCCUUGUUAAUCUGGGCUUCAGGGCACUAUGUUAUCGAUUUAUCAAGAGUUCUCUUUAUUGGUACAUUGUUAAUUUCACUCAUGAAGUGGCCUAUACUUUUAUAAGCAAGUACCGUUCUAAUAAGCCUUGUAGAGUUAUUACUACCUACAUUCUUCUAUAUGAUUGAAAUGAUCCUUAAUACCCCGCUGGUCCUAUUACCGUAUAGGCUCCAAAUUUUAGUUAAUCCUUGAUAGCAGAACACCUUUGGAGAAAUCCUGAAAAGUGUUAGUUUGACGUCGCUAUAAUUAGUAACUAAGUGAAAGAAAGAAAGAUUUACAAAGACAAUAAUCUCAAAAUUUAUGCUUUGAUGAUUUUAGAGAAGUUUCUCCUUGUCUCUUUUUUGAGGAUGCUUCCAAUUUCUAAAUGUGCUUUUUUGCUUGGUAAAAUACACAGCUAUUUUGAAAAUGGAAAAUGUUGAGAUUAGUUUCUCCAGUUGUGCUUUAUGCAGAACAUCAAAUGCUUGAUUGACAAAUUUGGAACUGGAUAUUACUUCCAGAAUGUGUUUUACUGUUGAAUUUUUUUGCUAAACUUUUGACAAGAGAAUAACUGUUUAACAUUGUGCUUGUUGAUCCCUCUUCUUCCAUGAUAAUCAAGUAAUCAUGCUAUAUUAUUGGCAGAGAUCAAUAGUCAAUUGCUGAAG